AAAACUUUCAACAACGGAUCUCUUGGUUCUGGCAUCGAUGAAGAACGCAAUGCGAUAAGUAAUGCGAAUUGCAGAAUUCCGUGAGUCAUCGAAUCUUUGAACGCACAUUGCGCCCUUUGGUAUUCCGAAGGGCAUGCCUGUUCGAGCGUCAUU
rnacentral:rRNA from 1 species